AUUGAACGCUGGCGGCAGGCCUAACACAUGCAAGUCGAACGGUAGCACAGAGAGCUUGCUCUCGGGUGACGAGUGGCGGACGGGAGAGUAACGUCUGGGAAACUGCCCGAUGGAGGGGGAUAACUACUGGAAACGGUAGCUAAUACCGCAUAACGUCGCAAGACCAAAGUGGGGGACCUUCGGGCCUCACACCAUCGGAUGUGCCCAGAUGGGAUUAGCUAGUAGGUGGGGUAAUGGCUCACCUAGGCGACGAUCCCUAGCUGGUCUGAGAGGAUGCCCAGCCAAACCGGAACUGAGACACGGUCCAGACCCCUACGGGAGGCAGCAGUGGGGAAUAUUGCACAAUGGGCGAAAGCCUGAUGCAGCCAUGCCGCGUGUAUGAAGAAGGCCUUCGGGUUGUAAAGUACUUUCAGCGGGGAGGAAGGCGGUGAAGUUAAUAACUUCACCGAUUGACGUUACCCGCAGAAGAAGCACCGGCUAACUCCGUGCCAGCAGCCGCCGUAA
rnacentral:rRNA from 1 species